GCCUAUAGGUUUAGAGCUGGUGUAUGCCUGAUCUUAAAGCUAAGUGGAGUUGGGCCUGAUUAGUGCUUGAAUGGGAAACCACUUGUGAAUACUGGGUACUAUAGGCU
rnacentral:rRNA from 1 species